rnacentral:rRNA from 1 species
UACGAAGGGUGCUAGCGUUGUUCGGAAUAACUGGGCGUAAAGGGUACGUAGGCGGCUUAGUAAGUCGAUUGUGAAAGCCCCGAGCUCAACUUGGGAACUGCAAUCGAUACUGCUUCGCUUGAGUUUGGUAGGGGAUGGUGGAAUUCCUAGUGUAGGGGUGAAAUCCGUAGAUAUUAGGAGGAAUACCGGUGGCGAAGGCGACCAUCUAUACCAAUACUGACGCUAAGGUACGAAAGCGUGGGGAGCAAACAGG